rnacentral:rRNA from 1 species
UACGGAGGGCGUAGCGUUGUUCGGUAAGUUAACUUGGCGGUAAGACGCACGUAGGCGGCGAUCUAAGACCACGAUGUGAAGGACCCCGGGCCGUCAACCUACGGGAACGUAGCGUUUGGUAACGUACAAGACUAGAGUGUGUCAGAGGGGGUGGAAGUUCCGCGUGUAGCAGUGAAAUGCGUAGAGAUGCGGAGGAACACCGAUGGCGAAGGCAGCCCCUCGGGAUAACACUGACGCUCAUGCACGAAAGCGUGGGGAGCAAACAGGAUUAGAUACCCCGGUAGU